GAUGAACGCUGGCGGCGCGCCUAACACAUGCAAGUCGAACGGUUAAAGCAUCUUCGGAUGUGUAUAAAGUGGCGAACGGCUGAGUAACACGUGGGCAACCUGCCCUUUGCACUGGGAUAGCCUCGGGAAACCGAGGUUAAUACCGGAUACUCCAUAUUUGUCGCAUGGCGAAUAUGGGAAAGCUCCGGCGGCAAAGGAUGGGCCCGCGGCCUGUUAGCUAGUUGGUGGGGUAGUGGCCUACCAAGGCAAUGAUGGGUAGCCGGGUUGAGAGACCGACCGGCCAGAUUGGGACUGAGACACGGCCCAGACUCCUACGGGAGGCAGCAGUGGGGAAUCUUGCACAAUGGGCGAAAGCCUGAUGCAGCGACGCCGCGUGCGGGAUGAAGGCCUUCGGGUUGUAAACCGCUUUCAGCAGGGACGAGGCCGCAAGGUGACGGUACCUGCAGAAGAAGCCCCGGCUAACUACGUGCCAGCAGCCGCGGUAAUACGUAGGGGGCAAGCGUUAUCCGGAUUCAUUGGGCGUAAAGCGCGCGUAGGCGGUCUGUUAGGUCAGGAGUUAAAUCUGGGGGCUCAACCCCUAUCCGCUCCUGAUACCGGCAGGCUUGAGUCUGGUAGGGGAAGAUGGAAUUCCAAGUGUAGCGGUGAAAUGCGCAGAUAUUUGGAAGAACACCGGUGGCGAAGGCGGCCUUCUGGGCCAUGACUGACGCUGAGGCGCGAAAGCUAGGGGAGCGAACAGG
rnacentral:rRNA from 1 species